rnacentral:rRNA from 1 species
ACUCCUACGGGAGGCAGCAGUGGGGAAUCUUGGACAAUGGGGGAAACCCUGAUCCAGCCAUGCCGCGUGAGCGAUGAAGGCCUUAGGGUUGUAAAGCCCUUUCAGUUGGGAAGAUGAAUGACAGGUGACCACCAGAAGAAGCCCCGGCUAACUCCGUGCCAGCAGCCGCGGUAAUACGGAGGGGCUAGCGUUGUUCGGAAUUACUGGGCGUAAAGCGCACGUAGGCGGAUUGGAAAGUUGGGGUGAAAUCCCGGGGCUCAACCCCGGAACGGCCUUCAAAACUCCCAGUCUAGAGGUCGAGAGAGGUGAGUGGAAUUCCGAGUGUAGAGGUGAAAUUCGUAGAUAUUCGGAGGAACACCAGUGGCGAAGGCGGCUCACUGGCUCGAUACUGACGCUGAGGUGCGAAAGCGUGGGGAGCAAACAGGAUUAGAUA